rnacentral:rRNA from 1 species
UGGGGAAUCUUGGACAAUGGGGGCAACCCUGAUCCAGCCAUGCCGCGUGAGUGAUGAAGGCCUUAGGGUCGUAAACCGCUGUCAGGAGGGAGGAACGGUGCGUGGUUAAGAGCUGCGUACUUUGACAGUACCUCCAGAGGAAGCCCCGGCUAACUCCGUGCCAGCAGCCGCGGUAAUACGGAGGGGGGUUAGCGUUGUUCGGAAUUACUGGGCGUAAAGCGCACGUAGGCGGACCAGAAAGUUGGGGGUGAAAUCCCGGGGCUCAACCCCGGAACUGCCUCCAAAACUAUUGGUCUAGAGUUCGAGAGAGGUGAGUGGAAUUCCAAGUGUAGAGGUGAAAUUCGUAGAUAUUUGGAGGAACACCAGUGGCGAAGGCGGCUCACUGGCUCGAUACUGACGCUGAGGUGCGAAAGUGUGGGAGCAAACAGGAUUAGAUACCCUGGUAGUCCACACCGUAAACGAUG